rnacentral:misc_RNA from 1 species
UUCGAAAUACAACACAUCACGGUGGUACUUUCCCACAUCACGCACAUCGUAUGCAAGAAGGGUCGGUGGUUUGGUUGGUUAGUUAGAAAAAGAAAGUGCUUAUUUUAUCAGAACAUUAGUAAACCAGUUUCUUUUGCUAAGCUACGCAUAGAAAAUAGGACUGUUUAUGGUGUUAGUCAAGACAAAGAGGAGCCAUGCAUCUGAGGUUGAGGGAAACACGCAAGUUUCAUCUCUCCGGAUUCGGCGAGUCAGAACGAGACCAACUUGUCAGAUAUGUUUUGGAUCUUAAGGCGCAAUAUUUAGAGUCAAGGGAUUAUCUGGCAGAAUGCACGCAUAUUGUUAGUCAACGACCAAUGAGGAGUGAGAAAUACUUAUGUGGUUGUGCUGCUGGAAAGUGGGUUUUGGUGAAGGAUUACAUUGUGAAGAGUCACAAAGUUGGUCGCUGGCUUGAAGAGUGUGAUUAUGAGUGGGGAAGCCCUGCUACAAAGCAUCUCAGUUAUUCUCUUGGGAUGAAUAGUCCAAGGCGUUGGCGUGAAUAUGUUGAACGGACAGGAAAACGUGCAUUCAGUGACUGGACUGUAGGAUUGAUUAUUGAGAAUAUAGAAAGACGACCUAAUGUCUAUAAGAGGUUGCUCCAGACAGGAGGAGCCAAGGUUGUUAGCAUGUCGACAGCCAAUACUGCAGAUCUAACACAUAUUCUUGUAGAUAAAGCCUACAGAAGCAAAAUCAAAACUUUUGCUAUGAAAGGUGUCAUCUGCGUAGUUCCGGAUUUUCUUGCUGAGGUCCUUUUUGAGGAAUCUCCAAAUGUUAGCAAGUAUCAUGUGUUAAGUGUCAACGUAACAUUGUCACCAGUUGUCAGUAUCAGUGACAUGAUAGGUUCGCAAUGCCCUUCUUCGUUGACAAACAGCACCUGCAGUUCUGCAUCAGUGGUUGUCAGUGCCUCUUCAUCAAAGAGUAUCUGUGAUCCAUUCACAAGGGCCAUGCAUGGUUGUGCAGCAAAGAACUCUGUUGGCUCUUCUACUAAGAGGAUGUCUGCUUCAUCAACCACCAACUCUGGAUCAUUAACAAGAUUUGCAAUUGCUUCCUGUACUAAAGUCGCCCAUGAUUUGUCUGCAACGAAAAUCACAGGGUUUCAAACCAUCACAUCGAGGUCAGCCGGUACAAGGUCAAGAUCUGUAAGGCAGUUAAGCAAUGACAGCAAAAACAUGAUUGCACAUAGUAAACUUUCUAGAAAGACUGCUUUAUCAGAUAUUGGGAAGCAGAAAGAGAUGAGAUCUCCAACAAGGUAUCUAAAUAGCACACCAGAGAAAAAGGCAGUGGCAAUCAAAAGGAAAUUGGUGUUCACAGAAAGUGAGGUGAAAGAGGCUUUGAAACAUGUUAAACGACAAAAGCUUGAAACACCAACAUAUUCAGUGAAUCCAUACAUGAUGCAGGCUUUACCAAAGCAAGGCAGUCAACUGACAUGUGCAGCGCCAUUCUAUAACUUAACAUCCAACAUCAUUGAAGGAGCUAUCGAGGAAGGCCUGUGGGAAGAGGCGGUACACAUGGCAAAGACUGAAACAUCAACUUUCCGUUACCCUCCACCCAGGGUGCUACACACAUUUAUGCAGGAAAUGCUAGUGACUGAAAGUAGUCCAUUAGCCCGUGACUUAUUUAGUGUGUUGACAAGAUGCCAGUGUCUUCACCCUCCAUCAGGCAUGCAUCUGCCUAUCAACAUUAUGUACUUGCAGUCCUUCUGUACAGAGGGGGUAAUGAAGAGUAAUGAGAAAAGCUCAGAAUUGUACUUCUGUUGUGACACUCCAUGGGACUUUAUGAAUUAUGUGAUUUGUGGAGCCAUUUCUGCAGGCCAGGAGUCAAAAGCAGUGGAAAGAGGUCAAUGUUUGUUACUUCUUCACUACUUGGUGGCACUGUUUGAACAAGACUUCAAGGCAUUUUGCGACAGGUGGCGGAACAAAGACAAAAUGAGGCAAGGAGUUGAAGAGACGAUGGUGGCAAAAGUACUGUGGCCAAGGGGACCUGUCAAGCCCACUGUUCCUUUUGUAAGGAAGCUGAUGGACUACUUAGUGCAGGCACUAGACAUGGUCACUGUUGACAAGGGUAGUGAGAGCCAGGCCUGCUAUGGCCAGGCCAGUGAUGAAAAGUCAUCAUGGAAGUGCCUUAGAUUACUCCAAGCUUUAUUUGGCAUGGCAGCAGAGUGUUGUAGGAUUGCUGAAUCCAAAGAACCAAAUGCUGUGUUGACAGGAAUCAGUGAGGAGGGGCUUGGCUCAGACCUGGUCAGAGAAAUGGUCUCAAGGUUGAAACAAAGUGGUAUGUUGAUCAACCAGAAGUGCGUUGAACUGUUUCUUGAUACAUUGACCUGUUCAUGGGUCAAGACCAUGUCUUUGGUCACAAUCCUGUCAACCUAUGACAGUGCUUUGGUGGCUAAUAGUAACAGCAAGAUGAAGGACCAAAAACUUUCUCUUGGAAAAAUUGUUACUUGGUAUUUCUACCUUCUACCAGAAUCUACCUCGCGCAUCAAUGCAGUACGUGCCCCAACAAAGACACCAGAUGUUCCAAAGGUACAAAUAAAAAGUGAAAGACCAUUGAAAGUAAACAAAAGGAAUGCGAAAGGUGAGACUGCUCUACAGACAGCCUGCAUCAAGGGAAAUCUUUCCAAAGUGAAAGAACUGUUGAAGGAACCCGGCAUUGAUGUGAACAGUCAGGACAAUGCAGGAUGGACUGCAAUGCAUGAGGCUUGCAACCAUGGGCAUGUAGCCUGUGUCAAGGAGCUAUUGCGAUUUAGACCCUUUAGGACUAUUAUGGACUACUUUGACAAGAGUAAAACCUCAUGGACUGGAUUAAAUUUACUUGCAGCGCCCUCUUGCGGUACAACUCCUUUGCAUGAUGCUGUUAUCAAUGGCAGAAUUGAAAUUGCAAGACUGCUGGUUCAGUCAAAGGGAAAGAAACUGCUUUCAGCUAUGAAUGUAGAUGGAUACACUCCUCUGGACUACGCUGUUACAACCGAGAUGAAAGCAGCAUUGUUGUCAUUUGACAAGGAGAACAAUGUUGAAGAAUCGCCAAGUAUGUCAAGUGUUGACAAGGUUCACAACAGCUCUAUGCCUGAUGACCAAACGUAUCGUGAAGUUCUCGGUCAGCCUCCAGUUUUGGUUGAUUCUACGAAAUGUGCAAUAUUUGCUACGUUGAUCCAACAUCUUCUGAUGGAUUACAUUAUACGCAAUGACCUGCAGAUACUGAGGCAAGAAGUAGAUUGUGCUCAAUCUAGAAUUCAUAAUGUCAAAGUACGCCCUCUAUCAUCUAAUGGGCAAACAUCCCAACCAGGCUCUGAUAUCCGGGCUAUACUGCCAGAAUGCGUGAAACAGUCCAAUGAGGAAAGAGUUCUGUGCGACUUGACUGUUUUUAGUCAACUGAAUGAUCAUCUCUCCAACUUCCAUAAGCACUUGAGCAAGAUAAGCAUAGGUACCAGUGCAUCAAUAUUGUUGAGGUUACAAAUGCUAGGCGGCUUUGUAGAUAAUAGUGCUGAUUUGUAGUUAUGCAUACUACUGGACUGUGCUAGCUAAUGCCUCCUGUCAUAACUAAACGUGUGGGCUGUGGAUUAUUGGGUGCUCAUAGGACUAGCAAAUGCCUCAGCAACGUGUACAAAAGUUGUAUAUUAGAAGUUUAAAGUACCAAAGAUGUAGCAGAGGGCAUUCUUUUAUGUCGCACUUGUGUAUAUAUAUAAUUUUAUAUUUCAUGUUAACGACAUUGAACAUUUUUUAAAACAUUGUAUGCUAAUAUGUUACGGAAAUAUUUAACGCUUAUACCUUGAUAUCUACUUUAGUUCAAACGUAAUAUAUCUGCAUGUUCAUUUAUCUUAUUACUGUAAUGGAUUAUAUACUAGUACAGUACAAGGCAAGAAGAAAUAUAAGCCAAGACGUUGAAAACUUAACUUUUUAUUGUUUUUCUCAGUCAUUUUCAUGUAUUUUGUUAGGAUCAUCAAACAGACGGUGCUACCAAUGCUAGAUCCCUAUACUGUAGUAUGCUCAAGUAAACCAACAAAAAUGAUAAAGUGUAAACUUCAGCAAACAUUACCUCCAAUGUAUGCUUCUUUGGUAGUCAAUGGUUCUAAAUUUUAAACAAAUAAAAAAUGAGAACCUACAUCAACAAGUGCCAUGGAAAUUCAGACAAACUAAAGGUGGGAUUGGAACAAAUAUAUGAAAACCCAGUUUGUAAAAGAUUGUCAAAAACCCUGUACAACAGAGAUGAUGGAAGAAACAGGCUGGUAUUCAACAUGCACAUGUGGCAUAUAUCUAAUGCACAGCACUAUAUCUAUCCACUAUAGUAUCACUAAAUUAUUAAAGCUACUGUUAAUGAAUAAGCAGCAAAAGCAU